rnacentral:rRNA from 1 species
CGCGUAGGCGGACAGUUAAGUCGGGGGUGAAAGCCCGGGGCUCAACCUCGGAAUUGCCUUCGAUACUGGCUGUCUUGAGUACGGGAGAGGUGUGUGGAACUCCGAGUGUAGAGGUGAAAUUCGUAGAUAUUCGGAAGAACACCAGUGGCGAAGGCGACACACUGGCCCGUUACUGACGCUGAUGCGCGAAAGCGUGGGGAGCAAACAGGAUUAGAUACCCUGGUAGUCCACGCUGUAAACGAUGAGUGCUAGUUGUCGGCAUGCAUGCAUGUCGGUGACGCAGCUAACGCAUUAAGCACUCCGCCUGGGGAGUACGGUCGCAAGAUUAAA